UACGUAGGGCGCAAGCGUUGUCCGGAAUUAUUGGGCGUAAAGAGCUCGUAGGCGGUCUGUCGCGUCCGUUGUGAAAACUCGAGGCUCAACCUCGGGCUUGCAGUGGAUACGGGCAGACUAGAGUGCGGUAGGGGAGACUGGAAUUCCUGGUGUAGCGGUGAAAUGCGCAGAUAUCAGGAGGAACACCGGUGGCGAAGGCGGGUCUCUGGGCCGAUAUCGACGCUGAGGAGCGAAAGCGUGGGGAGCGAACAGG
rnacentral:rRNA from 1 species